rfam:Ruminococcus torques L2-14 draft genome.
AUACAGGUGUUGAAGAAGAGGAGUACAUCAUUACUUCCCACAGAGAGAACCGUUCAGAUUGCUAAGAGGAUCUGGCUGUGAGACGGUUUGGAAAAAGGAUGAUGGAAGGUAGCUUCGGAGCCGGAAUUCUGAAAGGUCGAAGAGGUUGGAUAGGAGUUCCCGGAGUCGUUCACGUUACAGAACGAAGAGAUGUAUAUGUAAAGAACAAGGUUAAUACAAACAGUAACAAGUUCUUACAUAUAUAAAUAAGGUGGUACCGCGAGAUUUUCGCCCUUUAC